GACAGAGGGUGCAAACGUUGUUCGGAAUUACUGGGCGUAAAGCGUGUGUAGGCUGCUACAUAAGUCGGAUGUGAAAGCCCCGGGCUCAACCCGGGAAGUGCACUCGAUACUGCGUAGCUUGAGUCUCGGAGAGGUUGGUGGAAUUCUCGGUGUAGAGGUGAAAUUCGUAGAUAUCGAGAGGAACACCGGUGGCGAAGGCGGGUCUCUGGGCAACUACUGACGCUGAGGAGCGAAAGCGUGGGGAGCGAACAGG
rnacentral:rRNA from 1 species